GCUGCAGUUGGGGCUGACCCCGCCAGCUAACCAACCACUGCUCCGCUGGUCGUCUACCUAACCACCUUUCCUGUCCUGGCUCCCUCGAUCCAGUUCCCCCCCUCCUCUUUCACUCGUUCGUGGUUGGGAGGAAAUAGCCGGAUCGAUCUGCUGCUGCUGCUGCUAGCUAGCUGCUAAAGAGCAAAGGGAAGAGCAGCAAUUGCUUAAUUGGAGUCGAGCCGGUAACAUGAUGAGAUGGGGGAACAGCGGGCAGGCCGCGGAUUCCUUCUACCAGGUCCGCCCAGAUUGCAGCCAAAACGUCCCCAGCACCAAAUUCAAGAUCAAGGCCGGCAAGACAUUGAGCGUGCGGAAAUGGCACGCUGCGUUUACGCGUGAAGGCUGCUUGGAUAUCGCUUCGGUUCUAAGCCGCAUACAGAGAGGGGGUGUCCACCCUGCCAUCAGGGGGGAGGUUUGGGAGUUCUUGCUUGGCUGCUAUGAUCCUGGGAGCACCUUCGAUGAGCGGGACCAGAUUAGGCACAGGAGAAGGAUGCAGUAUGCUAGAUGGAAGGAAGAGUGCAGAGAGAUGGACUCUCACGUUGGUAGUGGAAAAAUUAUCACUGCCCGGUCUGCCCCAAUCAUCAAUGAGGAUGGAUUCCCUAUCAAGGAUCCAUUGGUUUUACUCGAGGCUACUUCAGACGCACAAGGUACUUCCGCCGGCAGCAGUGGAGUUGAGGUCAGCAACUCCACGAACCGUGUCAUUGAUAGGCAAAUCAUUGACUGGAAGCUUACACUGCAUCAGAUCGGCCUUGAUGUUCUACGCACUGACCGCUCCAUGGUAUUUAUGAGAACAAAGAAAAUCUUUCAAAGUUGUGGGAUAUUCUAGCUGUAUAUGCAUGGAUUGACAAAGAAGUCGGUUAUUGUCAAGGAAUGAGUGAUUUGUGUUCGCCCAUGAUAGUACUGCUCAACGAUGAAGCAGAUGCAUUUUGGUGCUUUGAGAGGUUGAUGCGUAGGCUGCGAGGGAAUUUCAGAUGCACAAAGCAGUCUGUUGGAGUGGAAAACCAGCUUCAGCAUCUUGCUUCUAUCAUUCAGGUGCUCGAUCCGAAGUUACAUGACCACCUAGAAACACUUGGUGGGGGUGACUAUCUCUUUGCAUUUCGCAUGUUCAUGGUAUUGUUCCGGCGAGAACUAUCGUUUGGGGACUCCUUGUACCUUUGGGAGAUGAUGUGGGCCCUAGAAUAUGAUCCUGACAUCUUCUUUACUUAUGAUGAAACUGGAACUGCAACUCACAAAAUUGAAGGAUCUAUACCAAAGGUAAAACCAAUACGUCAGUUUGGCAAGUACGAGAGAGAGAAUAUGAAGAAUGGGGCAAAUGAUGGUGAUGGACCCAUCCCUAUUUCGGUUUUCCUGGUUGCUAGUGUUCUGAAAGAGAACAGUCCAAAGCUUCUGCAAGAAGCUCAAGGGAUUGAUGACGUUAUCAGGAUAUUGAACAAUGUUAGCGGGGACUUGGAUGCGAAAAGAGCCUGCGCUGUUGCACUGAAGCUUCACAGGAAGUACCUCAAAAAGAUGCAGGGAAAGAAAACGUAAGACCAGAUGGUGAGAUACCGAUACUGCAUAUGUGACUUACCACACGGGGUUGUAAAGAGCAUGAUGUAGAGAUUUUAGAGUACAGUAGUUGUUUUUGUAAUACAGUGUUAACACCAUGAUUGUUCUGGGCUUCCAUGUUUUGAGUGAAUGAAGACUGAAUAAGGUAAUCUUCCACUGUAAUAGGGUUUAGGGUUCAAAGAUGCAAGUUGAAAUGUAUUAACUUACUCGUCAACACAUGAAAAUUGUACUACUACUGAGCACACGAAAAACUUAUUUUCCUUAUA